rnacentral:misc_RNA from 1 species
UCGUUUUAAGUAUGGCAAUAUUACUUUAAGCUAUAGUUAGUAAUGUAAAAAUCCUAAAAUCUAAAAUUGUACUUACUAUUAAACAAAUCUUAAUUAAAUAUUAAGCUGAAUACUACCAAACACUUGUUAAAGAUUUAUUUUUUCUAAAUUUUAAACUAAAAAUUUACCUCAACUUCAAAAACUUUUUCAUAAAAAUAAAAGCAAAAAGAAUAAUCAAUAAAAUUAGUCUUAAUUUAUCUUUCUAUUCAAAAGAGACUAAUCCAAGCCAUACUGGAAAGUACGAGCUUCUUGUUACGACUUCA